GACUCCAUGAGGGCAAGCAGUCAGGGCAGCUGCUUUGCAGAAGGCCAUGUGCCCUGUUAGGUUGCCCUUGGCCGUAUCCUGAGACUUGUUUUUAAAAAAUCAGAUUUGUUGCUGGUGCCCCCUCCAAACCUGCAGUAUUGUCUCUAACUUCUUGAUCCACUUUAAAACCCAUAAAGUGAGUGUCUAGCUCUCGUGGUGCUGGAGAAAGCUUCAAAAUGUGACCCCAGUGCACUCUAAAGGCUCAAAAAGAAGACGAGAAAGAAAAAGAACACCAAAUCUAUUAUGUUUACAUAAUCUCAUGAUUUUAAAG